rnacentral:rRNA from 1 species
CCAGAGGCCAUUGCUAUCAGGGUUUGACUAAGCCAUGCGAGUCGAGAGGGUUCGGCCCUCGGCAUACUGCUCAGUAACACGUGGUUAACCUGCCCUAAGGUGGUGAAUACUCCCGGGAAACUGGGGCUAAUGCACCAUAGUGGAUACUUGCUGGAAUGCUGUAUCCUCGAAAGAUCCGUCGCCUUAGGAUGGGACUGCGUCCGAUUAGGUAGUUGGUGGGGUAACGGCCCACCAAGCCUGUCAUCGGUACGGGUUGUGGGAGCAAGAUCCCGGAGAUGGAUUCUGAGGCAUGAAUCCAGGCCCUACGGGGCGCAGCAGGCGCGCAAACUUUACAAUGCGAGCAAUCGUGAUAAGGAAACCCUGAGUGCCCGUUGAUGCAGGCUGUUCAUCUGUUUAAAUUGCAGGUGAAGAAAGGGCAGGGCAAGACCGGUGCCAGCCGCCGCGGUAAUACCGGCUGCUCGAGUGAUGGCCACUAUUACUGGGUUUAAAGCGUCCGUAGCUUGACUGAUAGGUCUCUUGGGAAAUCUUAACGCUUAACGUUAAGGCGUCUAAGAGAUACCGUCAGUCUUGGAACUGGGAGAGGUAAACCGUACUUCGGGGGUAGGAGUGAAAUCUUGUAAUCCUCGAGGGACGACCUAUGGCGAAGGCAGUUUACCAGAACAGCUUCGACAGUGAGGGACGAAAGCUGGGGGAGCAAACGGGAUUAGAUACCCCGGUAGUCCCAGCCGUAAACAAUGUGCGUUAGGUGUAUCGGUAACCACGCGUUACUGAUGCGCCGCAGAGAAAUCGUGAAACGCACCACCUGGGAAGUACGGUCGCAAGGCUGAAACUUAAAGGAAUUGGC